rnacentral:tRNA from 1 species
UCCCUGGUAGCUCAGCUUGUGAAGAAUCUGCCUUCAAUGCAGUAGACCCAGGUUCAAUCCCUGGGUUGGGAG